rnacentral:rRNA from 1 species
GAUGCCUUGGCGUAAGGUGCCGAAGAAGGACGUGGUACACUGCGAAAAGUUCCGGAGAGCCGUGUGCAGGCGUAAGACCCGGAAAUGUCCGAAUGGGGAAACCCGGUGUGGAUUAUACCGCAUCAUCCCGCAAGGGAAGGGAACCGAGUGAACUGAAACAUCUAAGUAGCUCGAGGAAAAGAAAGUAUUCCGUUAGUAGUGGCGAGCGAACGCGGAGGAGCCUAAACCGGUUGCGAAACCGGGGUUGUAGGGUUCUCGUUUAGGCGAGGCGACUGAAGCAGAAUGGCGUGGGAAAGCCAACCAGAGAGGGUGAGAGUCCCGUAAGCGCAGGUCAAGCCGCUGAGAGAAUACCUGAGUACCGCAGGACACGUGAAAUCCAGCGGGAAGCAAGGAAGACCACUUCCUAAGGCUAAAUACACCAUACGACCGAUAGCGUAAUAGUACAGUGAUGGAAAGGUGAAAAGAACCCCGGCGAGGGGAGUGAAACAGAAUCUGAAACCAUAUACUUACAACCGGUCAGAGUCCUCGUAAGGGGAUAAUGGCGUGCCUUUUGGAGAAUGAGCCGGCGAGUUAAUGUCUGUGGCAAGCUUAAGGGAGAGACACCCGGAGGCGAAGCGAAAGCGAGUCUGAAUAGGGCGAGAAGUCGCAGGGAUUAGACGCGAAACCUGGUGAGCUACGCAUGAGCAGGGUGAAAGUGUCGUAACAGACAGCGGAGGCCCGAACUCACCACUGUUGCAAAAGUGGGGGAUGACUUGUGUGUAGGGGUGAUAUGCCAAACGAACUGGGAGAUAGCUCGUUCUCCCCGAAAUAGCUUUAGGGCUAGCGUUGCGUGGUUCAUGAUGGAGGUAAAGCGCUGGAUGGGCUAGGGGGCGUCAAGCUUACUGAACCCAACCAAACUGGGAAUGCCAUCAUGUAAGCGCGGCAGUCGGACGGUGGGUGAUGAGAUUCAUCGUCGAGAGGGAAAGAACCCAGACCUACAGCUAAGGUCCUGAAGUACUGGUUAAGUGGGAAACGAUGUGAUUGUGUCGAGACAGCUAGGAGGUUGGCUUAGAAGCAGCCACCCUUGAAAGAGUGCGUAACAGCUCACUAGUCGAACGCAAUUGCGCGGACAAUGUAACGGGGCUCAAACCAGUCACCGAAGCUUGGGAUGGUCGAAAGACUAUGGUAGGGGAGCGUUCUGCAGGCGGAGAAGGCCCACUGGAAAGUGGACUGGAGCGUGCAGGAGUGAGAAUGCCGGCAUGAGUAGCGUAAAACAUGUGAGAACCAUGUUCAUCGAAGAUCUAAGGUUUCCGACGGAAGGUCAGUCCGCGUCGGGUUAGUCGGGCCUAAGCCGAGGCCGAAAGGCGUAGGUGAUGGAUAACUGGUUAAUAUUCCAGUACCGGAGUGUGGAGUUUGUUCGAGACCCUCUAGGGAAGGUGAGCCGCUGAGUGGAUUGCGGUGGCAAGUGGUUAAUGACCAUGAUGCCGUGGGGCAACCCAAGAAGUCACUGACACCGGGAGGCAAGAAAAGCCGAAUAAACGUUGAAGCACACCGUCCGUACCACAAACCGACACAGGUAGAUAGGUUGAGAAAACCAAGAUGAACGGGAGAACCUUUGUUAAGGAACUAGGCAAAAAGGUCCCGUAACUUCGGGAGAAGGGACACCCCCGCGAGGGGGUCGCAGCGAAGAGGCUCUACCGACUGUUUACCAAAAACACAGGUCUCUGCAAACGCGAAAGCGGACGUAUAGGGGCUGACACCUGCCCAGUGCCGGAAGGUUAAGAGGAGAGGUUAGGGGAAACCCGAAGCUUUGAAUUGAAGCCCCGGUGAACGGCGGCCGUAACUAUAACGGUCCUAAGGUAGCGAAAUUCCUUGUCG